AGUGAACGCUGGCGGUAGGCCUAACACAUGCAAGUCGAACGGCAGCACAGUAAGAGCUUGCUCUUACGGGUGGCGAGUGGCGGACGGGUGAGGAAUACAUCGGAAUCUACUUUUUCGUGGGGGAUAACGUAGGGAAACUUACGCUAAUACCGCAUACGACCUACGGGUGAAAGCAGGGGAUCUUCGGACCUUGCGCGAUUGAAUGAGCCGAUGUCGGAUUAGCUAGUUGGCGGGGUAAAGGCCCACCAAGGCGACGAUCCGUAGCUGGUCUGAGAGGAUGAUCAGCCACACUGGAACUGAGACACGGCCCAGACUCCGACGGGAGGCAGCAGGGGGGAAUAUGGGACAAUGGGCGCAAGCCUGAGCCAGCCAUACCGCGUGGGUGAAGAAGGCCUGCGGGUUGUAAAGCCCUUUUGUUGGGAAAGAAAAGCAGCAGGUUAAUACCCCGCUGUUCUGACGGUACCCAAAGAAUAAGCACCGGCUAACUUCGG
rnacentral:rRNA from 1 species